ensembl:lincRNA
AACUCAGGUUGCAAAAAGUUCCCAAAACUGUAACCAGUUCGUCAAUUUCACGUUCUUUUACAGGUCUGUGCCAGGUGACUGCGAGGUCUGAAGCACUCAAGAUCAAUUGUCUUGAGGGGAAGUCCGUCCAGCUCCCAGCUCCAGUCAGUAAGAAUGGCCUCUUGAAAACAGACAGCGGUGUGCAGGCCUCAGUGAAGAACGGCUGUCUUGACAAGGUCUACAACAGAAAAAUCCACUGGUCCAGGGAGGAUGGAUGUUUCUAUAUCAUGAACCUCACUAUUACAGACACUGGGAACUACAAUGUGGAAAACCAAGAUGGACAGAGCAAGAUCACACAUAUUUCUCUUGCAGUUUAUAGUCCUGUGUCCCAGCCACGAGUCCAGGCCUCUAACUCAGCCUCUCAAUCGAACGUAUCCUGCUCCCUGCUGUGCUCAGUGGAGAACGGGAGAGGGGUCACCCUGUCUUGGCUCACAGAGGGAAGGUCACUGAUCUCCACCAAGAAUCCUGCCCUCUCCACCAACCUGACUCUUCAGCUGGAGGCAGCAGGACUCUCUGAGCCCCUCGUCUGCUCAGCCACUAACCCUGUCGACAGCAGCAUAACCUCUGUCAGGCUUGAGGACUACUGCCAAGGUGAGAUACUGCACAGCUGGGACAGACACUAAAUGAGUGAGAGAGACUCCUAUUGUCUGUACUGCACUGAGAGAUACUGCACAGCUGGGACAGACACAGUAAAUGAGCGAGAGAGACUCCUAUUGUCUGUACUGCCCUGGUGAGAUGCUGCACAGCUGGGACAGACACUAAAUGAGUGAGAGAGACUC